rnacentral:tRNA from 1 species
UAAUAAGAAACAAUUUUUGUAUUUAGUUUCGACCUAAAAUUUUGAUAUUCAUUUAUCCUUAUUUU